ACUUACGGUUCGGGCGGUGGGCGAGAGCGAUCCGUUGGGGAGGUAGGGGCUCGUCAGGUCGGGGAUCAUGAUGAAGGGGUAGCCGGGAUACGGUGGCCCCUUAAAGAGCCCUCCAUCUUGCCUCUUGGCCGCUAACAUGGCGGGGCGGCGGAGGGGACGGCGGCGGCCGCGCGGCGCGGGAGAGAGCGGGAGAAACUUUUUAGCAAGUGUCCCCCCGAGGGCCCGCGCGCGUCCCCGGGGCCCGGCCGGCGCGGGAACUCGGCCAGCAGCCCGGGCCACCGUCCGCGCCGCCCGCAAGCCCGACCCGCCUCGCCUCGCUCGCCUUCCAGCCCCGCUCUCCCGGCCCUGGAACCGGCUGGAGCCACCCGCCAGCCCGAGGGGCUCUUCCUACCUCGGAAUCGGAGGAGCUGUUUUGAUUCGUCUCUGAUUCAUUGACCAGCGAGGACUUGACAUCGGCUAAAUCCCUUUCCGCCGAGGAGUUUUCCGAGUUCUUCUCCUCCUGCUCGCCUUCGUCUUUGAAGGAGAUCAGCUCGUCGUUAGCGCCUAGGUCAUCUCCUCCACCGCCGUUCAGCUGCGGCAUUUUUCACCCACCAGCAGCAGCAAUUUUGGAAGAAAAAUGAAGGAGGAAAAAAAGCAAAAAAAAAAAAAAAAAAAAAAAAAAAGUUUUGCGAGUCCCCCCCAAAAAAAUACUGCAAGAAAAAGACGAGUCCAAGGUUAA
rnacentral:lncRNA from 1 species